GGGAAUGUAUGCAAGCGGUUAAAGCAGACAAACAGAGAAGGUUGCUCGGACAAUACGCGCGUGAUGUCCUAUAGUUCGUGGGUUCGAUUCCCACCAUUCCCA
rnacentral:tRNA from 1 species